rnacentral:misc_RNA from 1 species
AAGUCGUAACAAGGUUUCCGUAGGUGAACCUGCGGAAGGAUCAUUAACACGUAUCCAACGUUAAAACAACCCCGUGAACUUUCAGCUUGCUCCUGUAGCCCGUGAAAGCAGCAAUCCCUGGUAAAUCAUUGUUGACCAGCUUUUGAGUCAGGGACCUCUGCAGAUCUCCUUUACGACAACUACAGUCUAACUUCGCCGCGCGUGAAAUUCGCACGGCACCAAAAACCGAACAACUGUUAACAAUC